rnacentral:tRNA from 1 species
GGCCGCAUAGCUCAGUUGGUAGAGCAUUGGGCUUGUAUUCCAAAGGUUGUAGGUUUGAUUCCCACCGUGGUCA